GGCAGUUCUCGGGUGACCCAUUCUGGAAUUAGGCUCCCUCCUCUCUGGUUCCGGGUGUGUCACCUGAGAACCGCA
rfam:Myotis davidii contig191795, whole genome shotgun sequence.